CUGUGUGUCUCUCUCGCUCUCGCCGUGGCUGUUGCGCCGCGUACAGUUGUACACACCACCACAAUAGUUUUGUCAUUUAUUGUGUGAGUAAUGGGCGGCGGAAUUAUAUGGGAACCGAGAAGAAACCCAGGUGCUGAAGCUGCACGGACCCCCACGCCGCCGCGCCGAGAUAUUACUAUGUUCGGCGGCGGCGACGAUAUAAUAGUAAGACGAAAUCCAUUUUCGCCGUAAUUCGGACAAGGGUUAUGUACACCGUAUUACCAUUACACCGGAUUGUACUUAUACAUUAUGCACCACACG